AAAUUGAAGAGUUUGAUCAUGGCUCAGAUUGAACGCUGGCGGCAGGCCUAACACAUGCAAGUCGAACGGUAACAGGAAGCAGCUUGCUGCUUUGCUGACGAGUGGCGGACGGGUGAGUAAUGUCUGGGAAACUGCCUGAUGGAGGGGGAUAACUACUGGAAACGGUGGCUAAUACCGCAUAACGUCGCAAGACCAAAGAGGGGGACCUUCGGGCCUCUUGCCAUCAGAUGUGCCCAGAUGGGAUUAGCUUGUUGGUGAGGUAACGGCUCACCAAGGCGACGAUCCCUAGCUGGUCUGAGAGGAUGACCAGCCACACUGGAACUGAGACACGGUCCAGACUCCUACGGGAGGCAGCAGUGGGGAAUAUUGCACAAUGGGCGCAAGCCUGAUGCAGCCAUGCCGCGUGUAUGAAGAAGGCCUUCGGGUUGUAAAGUACUUUCAGCGGGGAGGAAGGUGUUGUGGUUAAUAACCGCAGCAAUUGACGUUACCCGCAGAAGAAGCACCGGCUAACUCCGUGCCAGCAGCCGCGGUAAUACGGAGGGUGCAAGCGUUAAUCGGAAUUACUGGGCGUAAAGCGCACGCAGGCGGUCUGUCAAGUCGGAUGUGAAAUCCCCGGGCUCAACCUGGGAACUGCAUUCGAAACUGGCAGGCUUGAGUCUUGUAGAGGGGGGUAGAAUUCCAGGUGUAGCGGUGAAAUGCGUAGAGAUCUGGAGGAAUACCGGUGGCGAAGGCGGCCCCCUGGACAAAGACUGACGCUCAGGUGCGAAAGCGUGGGGAGCAAACAGGAUUAGAUACCCUGGUAGUCCACGCCGUAAACGAUGUCUACUUGGAGGUUGUGCCCUUGAGGCGUGGCUUCCGGAGCUAACGCGUUAAGUAGACCGCCUGGGGAGUACGGCCGCAAGGUUAAAACUCAAAUGAAUUGACGGGGGCCCGCACAAGCGGUGGAGCAUGUGGUUUAAUUCGAUGCAACGCGAAGAACCUUACCUGGUCUUGACAUCCACGGAAGAAUYCAGAGAUGGAUUUGUGCCUUCGGGAACCGUGAGACAGGUGCUGCAUGGCUGUCGUCAGCUCGUGUUGUGAAAUGUUGGGUUAAGUCCCGCAACGAGCGCAACCCUUAUCCUUUGUUGCCAGCGGUCCGGCCGGGAACUCAAAGGAGACUGCCAGUGAUAAACUGGAGGAAGGUGGGGAUGACGUCAAGUCAUCAUGGCCCUUACGACCAGGGCUACACACGUGCUACAAUGGCGCAUACAAAGAGAAGCGACCUCGCGAGAGCAAGCGGACCUCAUAAAGUGCGUCGUAGUCCGGAUUGGAGUCUGCAACUCGACUCCAUGAAGUCGGAAUCGCUAGUAAUCGUGGAUCAGAAUGCCACGGUGAAUACGUUCCCGGGCCUUGUACACACCGCCCGUCACACCAUGGGAGUGGGUUGCAAAAGAAGUAGGUAGCUUAACCUUCGGGAGGGCGCUUACCACUUUGUGAUUCAUGACUGGGGUGAAGUCGUAACAAGGUAACCGUAGGGGAACCUGCGGUUGGAUCACCUCCUUACCU
rnacentral:rRNA from 1 species